ACUGAGGGAAUGUCCCCGCUCAAGGAUUAAAAGGUUACAAAACUAAAGUAAAACAAGAUAUGUAACCCCAAUCCCUUUGACAGCAGAAAUCCCAAAGACAUUUCAAUGGUGUCCAACAGUCUCAUUUACCCAGGGACUUAAACCAGAACACACCACGCUCACUUCUCCUCACUUUCUUUACCUCAAUCACCCUAUAUCAUGGAGAGAGAAUGAACGAUCUAAGGUAGCUGAGCCUAGCAAAUUGGAUCUUCUUGCCUCAAGUCUGUCUCUUAACCAUCCUUCACUUUGCAUCCCAUUCCAUCCAAAGAGGCAAUGAAAUUAUCGAAGUCAGCCUCUCAGGAAAAAAAAAAACUAAAGUAAAACUCAGGAAAGUAAAACUU